UGCCGCGUGAGUGAAGAAGGCCUUCGGGUUGUAAAGCUCUUUUGUUAGGGAAGAUGAUGACGGUACCUAACGAAUAAGCACCGGCUAACUUCGUGC
rnacentral:rRNA from 1 species